UGCUCCAGGUCCACAUCUCCUGUCCUUUACUCCUCACUGGAGCUGAACUCCAAGAUGGAUUCCCAAGCCAAGCUUCUCAUGGACCAGCUGGAGUCUGCUAAGGCCCUGGCACCUAAGUCACAGGGCCAGGAUGACCUCAGACUUACAACAAUCCCCUGCCUCAACCUCUGAGUGCUGAAAUGACAGAUGUUCCUGUCGCCAGCCGCCUGCACUCCGCAUCGGCCAGACUGAUUUCAGGAGGUGGUGACCUUUGAGGAUGUGGUCGUGAACUUCAGCAAUGAGGAGUGGCAUUUGCUGAGUCCAUCCCAAAAGAACCUCUACAGAGAUGUGAUGGGCGAAACCUUUAGGAACAUGACUGCAAUUGGAGGACUUGGAGAUAUCCAGGAAGCUGAAAAAGAAUGCAAAAUUUACUGGAGAUACUUAAGGUAAUUCGUACUCACAAGGAGAAGGAAUGUUCC